GGAAGAUUUUUUUCUCUGUUAAAUAAUGGCACUUUAAAAAUUUGCCUCUUAAUCUCCAUCCUAAUAACAGACAGGAAAAAAUUAUCUUCAGGCAUCUAUCUAUCAAAAAAUUUAUCAGAGAAUAUGAUGAUUGACAGAGCCUCAGCAGAAAAUGUUAGAGACAAAGAACCAGAGUUCUGGAACCUUGGCUUAGGAAGAUGCUAUCUACUUAAAUUCUAACCUCUACACAAUAGAAGAGAGACUGAGAAUUCUAACAGUUGGCGUUAUUGGCAACAAAGGGAGGCAGUAGCGUAUGAAAUGCAACGAGCAAGGAAUAUAGAUAAAAAUGAGGGGUAGAAGGUGGUCAAUAGGCAGCAGGCACCAAGGAGUGAAUACUUUCGAUUGUCUACAUGCAACCCUGCGUUAUAAGAACCCCCCGGGCAAAGGCCUGUUAGGAACAUCUUUGGAAACAGAUGCUAUACACGUAUAAGCAAGAUAAAAGUCCUCCGCCAUUUCUUUUCCUCAUCAGUGACCUCAGUGAUGACUGGAAGCUCUGUUUGGAUGGACACAUGGGGGUGAUCUGGGACAUAGAAACCUGGAAAAGCUGAUGAAAGCUGAUUCUCCCUUGAAGAAGACAUUUGGAAUGAAGCAGUGUGACCUUUAAUCACCCUCAGACCUCUUUUUGUUCUUGUUCCAGGACAUUCUAUAAGUAAAAAUUCCCAGCCUCCUC